UGACUGUAAUUUAUUCAAUCUAUUUUUUGGGCCUUCUCAUCAUUGAAGAGGUUUAUGAAAUGAAAAUAUCUCUGUUUUAUUUCCAGAAACAGUGCCAGUUCCUGUUAAAGCGGUUGUCCCCCCCCCCCCCCCCCCCCAAAAAAAAAAAUUCUACCUAGGGAUGAGCGAAUCGAUAUGUGUCACUAGUAAGAGUUCUACAUCUGGAUCGAUCUAGCAAUUAUCACUCAUAAUCCCGCUUCAAACUGAAAAUCUCAGCCUGAACAAUCUGCCCUUUAAAUGCGUUUACCAGGUGUUUAAUAUUGAUGACCUAUCCUCAGGAUAGGUCAUCAGUAUCUGCUUGGUGGGGGUCCGACUCCAGGCACCCCCGCUGAUCAGCUGUUUGAAGAAGCUGCAUCGCAUCUUCCUAGAUCAGUGACCUCACGUUCAUCGGUCACAUGUCCUAGGCACAGCCUAGUACCCAUCAUUUAAUGGAUUGUGCUGUGUUUUGUAAGCUGUGAGGAAGCCAUGGUGCUUACAGGAACUCCAUGGCCUCUUCAAACAGCUAGUCGGUGGGGAUGGUGGGCGCCGGACCCCCACCGGUCUGGAAUUGAUCAAUAUUAAGCACAUGGGAAAUCCCUUUAAAGGGAAGAAUGUGCAGACUGAGGAGAACUUCUGAUUGAAACAGGAUUGAGUGACAAUGAUUACAUUGAUCUUUUUGGGGA